rnacentral:rRNA from 1 species
UACGGAGGGUGCAAGCGUUAUCCGGAUUUACUGGGUUUAAAGGGUGCGUAGGUGGGUAAGUAAGUCAGUGGUGAAAUCUUCGAGCUUAACUCGGAAACUGCCAUUGAUACUAUUUAUCUUGAAUACUUUGGAGGUAAGCGGAAUAAUGUCAUGUAGCGGUGAAAUGCUUAGAUAUGAACAUAGAACACCAAUUGCGAAGGCAGCUUACUACACAGUUAUUGACACUGAGGCACGAAAGCGUGGGGAUCAAACAGG